UACGUAGGGUGCAAGCGUUAAUCGGAAUUACUGGGCGUAAAGCGUGCGCAGGCGGUUGUGUAAGACAGAUGUGAAAUCCCCGGGCUCAACCUGGGAACUGCAUUUGUGACUGCACGGCUCGAGUGCGGCAGAGGGGGAUGGAAUUCCGCGUGUAGCAGUGAAAUGCGUAGAUAUGCGGAGGAACACCGAUGGCGAAGGCAAUCCCCUGGGCCUGCACUGACGCUAAUGACCGAAAGCGUGGGAGCAAACAGG
rnacentral:rRNA from 1 species